rnacentral:rRNA from 1 species
AUUGAACGCUGGCGGCAGGCCUAACACAUGCAAGUCGAGCGGAGCGGCGGACGGGAGAGUAAUGCCUAGGAAUCUGCCUGGUAGUGGGGGAUAACGGCCGGAAACGGGCGCUAAUACCACAUACUCUCAGAUGAGACUAGGUCGGAUUAGCUAGUUGGUGGGGUAAAGGCCUAACAAGGCGAAGAGCCGUAACUGGUCUGAGAGGAUGAACAGUCACACUGGAACUGAGACACUGUCCAGACUCCUACGGGAGGCAGCAGUGGGGAAUAUUGGACAAUGGGCGAAAGCCUGAUCCAGCCAUGCCGCGUGUGUGAAGAAGGCCUUCGGGUUGUAAAGCACUUUCAGCGGGGAGGCGUUACCCGCAGAAGAAGCACCGGCUAACUCCGUGCCAGCAGCCGCGGUAAUUC